rnacentral:rRNA from 1 species
GAUGAACGCUAGCGGCAGGCUUAAUACAUGCAAGUCGAGGGGCAGCACGGGUAGCAAUACUGGGUGGCGACCGGCAAACGGGUGUGGAACACGUACAGAACCUUCCUUUAAGCGGGGGAUAGCCCAUAGAAAUGUGGAUUAAUACCCCAUAGUAUUAUUAGGUGGCAUCAUUUAAUAAUUAAAGAUUUAUCACUUAAAGAUGGCUGUGCGUCUGAUUAGGUAGUUGGUGGGGUAAAGGCCCACCAAGCCAACGAUCAGUAACUGGUGUGAGAGCACGACCAGUCACACGGGCACUGAGACAAGGGCCCGACUCCUACGGGAGGCAGCAGUAAGGAAUAUUGGUCAAUGGAGGCAACUCUGAACCAACCAUGCCGCGUGAAGGAUGAAGGUCCUCUGGAUUGUAAACUUCUUUUAUGUGGGAAGAAACCCUUGUUUUAUAAUGAGGUUGACGGUACCAUAGGAAUAAGCACCGGCUAACUCCGUGCCAGCCGCCGCAGUAACAC